AUGCAUCUCUGACAGACCUGGAGCAGUUAAUGUCUGCUGCUAAGGUUUCCACUACAGAUACAAGUAAAAAAGGCCCUUACACUGUCUGUUUGGUUGUGGCAGCCAAGAUUGAAUGAGAGAAUAUACGA
rnacentral:snoRNA from 1 species